rnacentral:misc_RNA from 1 species
AUCCACGACUUGAUCGAGAAGGAGAAGCGUCGCCAAUGCACCGGAAUCGAGCUCAUAGCAUCCGAGAACUUUACUUCUUUCGCUGUCAUUGAGGCACUUGGCAGUGCCCUCACUAAUAAGUACUCCGAGGGAAUGCCCGGGAACCGUUACUACGGUGGCAAUGAAUACAUCGAUGAGAUCGAGAACCUCUGCCGGUCCCGCGCUCUCCAGGCUUUCCACCUCGACCCC